UGCUGGGGAGGAGCGCAAGGCUGCCUCCUUGGCCCCGGGUAGAGGUGGUUCUCUUCCACCAGGCCCUCCACUGGAUACCGCUUUCCUCUCAAGCUUCUUGAUAUUGGCUUAACCCCACUCCACUCUUCGAAAGGCUUUCUUUCUGUUCCUGCCUGGCGUGGGUCUCCCCACUGCCUAGGGCCCCUUUCUUUCCUGCAGGGUUGAGGGAGGCCCCCUUCAAGCCUUUCACCUGCUCUGUGAGCAGGGAGCACCCACUGUGCUUGCUGCAUGCACUGCUUGCUUAGCAGGGAAGCUAAAGAUGGUUCAUUCUGCAACAAUUCUCUCUCAGCUUUCAGACUCCCUGGGUGGAGAGUCCUUUCGGGCGCUCCCUGAAAAAACAUGCUUGCUCACCAGUUGGUUCCCAAGACAGCCCAUUUAUAGUUCCCUUAAGAAAACAGCUCUUGGAUUAGCUUAAUCAGUGCAACUCAGCCGCCUCUCACUGUUAAUAAUAAUUAACUCAAGCAAGUUCUCCAUUUUAAAUGUUUAAGAAGCAGCAAAAUCAAAUCACACGGGGACAGCAUACACACAGGCCUUCAAGCUUCAUCUCUACAGCUACAGAAUUGUGGAUACCGAAGGAACCUUGAAGACAAUCUCAUCAGUCUAAUUUUUCUAUCUGUAGCAGCCAUGGUUCCAGCCAACUGGAUGAAUCAAAUCUCAUCAAAGUCCGUUCUGGCAGCUGCAGUCCCGCUGGGCCAAUGAUUGGCCUGGAGGUGGGCACUGUGACCCAGCUUUGGCCAAUGAGAUAUAAGAGGGAGUAGGCUGCAGAUGGUUCUGCCCCUUCUUCCGACUUUGAACAUGGUUAUGUAUAAAUAUUACGAUUGGAGCUGUCUUUUUUCCGACUUGCAUCCACAAGGAAACAGGCUGGGGACAAAAAGCAGGUUUCCCAGGUUUGCAAGAGUGGAAACAUAGAAAGAGCCUGGGUCCUUGAUACUGUGAAUACGAGAAUGCAAAACACCUGGAUCUGCCCGCCUCGUGGCUAAUGAUGGAGACAAUCAAACGUCUUUAUUGUUUAAACCACUGUUGAUGGAGGGGUUUUAUUUCUUGCAGCUGAAAGCAUUUCUAA